rnacentral:rRNA from 1 species
CGAGACCAGGACGUUGAUAGGUCGGGUGUGGAAGCGCUGUGAGGCGUGAAGCUAACCGAUACUAAUGGCUCGUGAGGCUUGAUCCU